rnacentral:misc_RNA from 1 species
GAUGAAGAACGCAGCGAAAUGCGAUAAGUAAUGUGAAUUGCAGAAUUCCGUGAAUCAUCGAAUUUUUGAACGCAUAUUGCGCCCCCUGGUAUUCCGGGGGGCAUGCCUGUCCGAGCGUCAUUGCUGCCCUCAAGCACGGCUUGUGUGUUGGGCCUCCGUCCUCCUCCCGGGGGACGGGCCCGAAAGGCAGCGGCGGCACCGCAUCCGGUCCUCGAGCGUAUGGGGCUUCGUCACCCGCUCUUGUAGGCCCGGCCGGCGCUUGCCGACACAUCAAUCUUUUUUCCAGGUUGACCUCGGAUCAGGUAGGGAUACCCGCUGAACUUAAGCAUAUCAAUAAGCGGAGGA